AUGAAUGUCAGUAAGCAAAAGGCACAAGAACCUUGUGAGGGCCUUCAAGAUUGUUGCGAAGCCCUUAGACGAAAGAAAGUCAUAGACAUUGCACGAACCCCAAGUCGUCAGAGUCGGAGUCAUACUCCAAGUGGUCAACGAAGGUCUAGAUCUGUGGGUAGAAGAAGGAGCUUUAGCAUUUCCGCAAGCCGCGGGAGCCACACCCCCAGCCGCCGGAACCGUACCCCCAGCCGACGGAGCCGCACCCCCAGCCGCUGGAGAAGAUCAAGGUCUGUGGUAGGAAGACGAAGCUUCAGUAUCUCACCAGUCACAUUAAGGCAAUCAAGAACACCCUUGAGAAGAAGGUUUAGCAGAUCUCCCAUCCGUCGUAAAAGAUCCAGGUCUUCUGAACCAGGCAGACCAUCCAAACGUCUGACAGAUUUGGAUAAGGCUCAAUUACUAGAAAUAGCCAAAGCUAAUGCAGCUGCCAUGUGUGCUAAAGCUGGUGUCCCUUUACUGCCAAACCUAAAGCCCGCACCUCCACAUACCAUAGAAGAGAAAGUUGCUAAAAAGUCAGGAGGAGCUACUAUAGAAGAACUAACUGAGAAAUGUAAACAGAUCGCACAGAGUAAAGAAGAUGAUGAUGUAAUAGUGAAUAAAUCUCAUGUUUCGGAUGAAGAGGAAGAAGAACCUCCUUUUUAUCAUCAUCCCUUUAAACUCAGUGAACCCAAACCCAUUUUUUUCAAUCUGAAUAUUGCUGCAGCAAAACCAACUCCACCAAAAAGCCAGGUAACAUUAACAAAAGAAUUCCCUGUAUCAUUUGGAUCUCAAUAUUGGAAAAAAGAAGCGGAUAGUGCUUAUGGAGAAUGGGUUCCUGUAGAGAAAAAUGGUGAAGAAAACAAAGAUGAUGAUAAUGUUUUCAGCAGCAAUUUGCCCUCAGAGCCUGUGGACAUCUCUACAGCAAUGAGUGAACAGGCACUUGCUCAGAAAAGACUCAGUGAGAAUGCAAUAACAAUAAACUAG